UACGGAGGUGGCAAGCGUUACUCGGUUUGACUGGGUGUAAAGGGUCCGCAGGCGGUCAGAUAAGUAGAAAGUGAAAUCCUUUGGCUCAACCAAAGAACUGCUUUCUAAACUGUUUGACUUGAGGCUGGGAGAGGAGAACAGAACUGCCGGUGUAAGGGUGAAAUCUGUGGAUAUCGGCGGGAAUGCCCAUGGGGAAGCCAGUUCUCUGGACCAGUCCUGACGCUCAGGGACGAAAGCUAGGGGAG
rnacentral:rRNA from 1 species